GCCGGCGACCAUACCACGUUGAAAGCACCGGUUCUCGUCCGAUCACCGCAGUUAAGCAACGUUGGGCCCUGGUAAGGCCGAGA
rnacentral:rRNA from 1 species